rnacentral:rRNA from 1 species
CAUGUCGAGCGGAGUUCUUCGGAACUUAGCGGCGAAUGGGUGAGUAACACGUACUUAACAUGCCCUCUAGAUUGGAAUAACGAUUAGAAAUGAUCGCUAAUGCCGGAUACUUAUGUUUUUCGCAUGAAGAAUAUAUAAAAGGAGCGUUUGCUUCGCUAGAGGAUUGGGGUGCGUAACAUUAGCUAGUUGGUAGGGUAAUGGCCUACCAAGGCUAUGAUGUUUAGCGGGGUUGAGAGACUGAUCCGCCACACUGGGACUGAGAUACGGCCCAGACUCCUACGGGAGGCAGCAGUAGGGAAUUUUCCACAAUGGACGAAAGUCUGAUGGAGCGACACAGCGUGCAGGAUGACGGCCUUCGGGUUGUAAACUGCUGUUAUAAGGGAAGAAAAAAUAAAGUAGGAAAUGACUUUAUCUUGACGGUACCUUGUCAGAAAGCAACGGCUAACUAUGUGCCAGCAGCCGCGGUAAUACAUAGGUUGCAAGCGUUAUCCGGAAUUAUUGGGCGUAAAGCGUCUGUAGGUUGUUUGUUAAGUCUGACGUGAAAACUUGGGGCUCAACCCCAAAUUGCGUUGGAUACUGGCAAACUAGAGUUAUGAAGAGGUUAGCGGAAUUCCUUGUGAAGCGGUGAAAUGCGUAGAUAUAAGGAAGAACACCAACUUGGCGAAGGCAGCUAACUGGGCAUACACUGACACUGAGAGACGAAAGCGUGGGGAGCAAACAGGAUUAGAUACCCUGGUAGUCCACGCUGUAAACGAUGAUGAUUAGCUGAUGGGAAACUCAUCGGCACAGCUAACGCAUUAAAUCAUCCGCCUGAGUAGUAUGCUCGCAAGAGUGAAACUUAAAGGAAUUGACGGGGAUCCGCACAAGCGGUGGAGCAUGUGGUUUAAUUUGAAGAUACGCGUAGAACCUUACCC